AGGAGCUGGAGGGAAAGCCAGGUAUGAAGCUCAGAGCAGGAAGGAAGGCCUGAGAGAGACCCUCAUCAAACAGGGGAGAGACUGAGAGACCCAGAGAGAAAGUAAGAGAGGCUGCCAAUUAGUGCGUCAAUACCUGAGACCACCAAUUCACUCUACAUAGACUGCUGGACAGGAAUCAGAAGGUAACAAGUUCUAGGGCCAGAUCUUCUAACUGAUAGCAACUGAGCGUGCCAACACAUCUAACACAUCUUGACUACAGGGUGCUCGAAGAAGCUUUCAUUUGUCACUGCUUGCUCAACGGGGAUCAGGCAUAGCUGCAGUGGAGAAAGAUUUUCCUUCAUCCAUGGCUGAUGGACCAUCCUGUUUAAAUUGAUGCGCUUGCAAGAAGGAUUUAAAUCAAAGGAGAAAUCUUGUGCUCAUACCAAAUAGCUGUUUUUCUUCAUUUAAUGAAACAGGGCCCAAUCCAGCCUCUGCUCACAGGAAUAAGCCAUAGACAUCAGAAUACUCCUAUUCAACUUUCUGGGACUACUCACGCCUUCCUACAUGCGUUACUGUGCAAAAGUCAGUGAGGAGAGUCCAGAUGAUGAUACGACAGCAGUGCAAUAGAAUGAAAACUAAUGAAGGCUCUGACUCAGAAAAGCACUUAAGCACGUGGUUAACGUUAAGCACAUGAGUAGUCUCGCUGACCUUCAACAGCAGGAAGUUGAAUAGUCAACAGGAAGAAACCUUCAUCGGUUGCUGUUGCAUUUACUGCUUGACUGAAGCAGUGUACAGCCCUAGUUCCGCAACUGAGCAACGAAACUCAUCUUUAACUUUAUGUGUAGGAGUAAUCCCAUUGAAUUCACUUCCCACAAAGUUCAGAAUGUAUUUAUGUGCUUUGCGGGAUUAGGCCUAACACUGUUUCUAAUCUAGCACAAUAUACAACAGCCACCAAUUAGUUCUUUGUCCUGUUAUAUAUCGCUGCCAUUUGUUUGUCAAGAUAAAGACACUUAUUUGGUGAAAGGAAUCUGGCUGGAGAGUGGGAAUGGUUUGCUCUCUCUUUGCUAAUUUCACUGCUGUUGUAAUAAAGAGCGUUUUGUUUUACCUGCCUAACAGAGCAUGACGACACAGGAACAAUAUGACUUAUUAAGUAGGGCAAACAUCAGAACCUUGACAUAAUGCAAACCAUGUGUCUCGCAGCAAUCUUCAUAUGCCUCUGACACAGUUCAGAAGGUACUCUG